rnacentral:rRNA from 1 species
AUUGAACGCUGGCGGAAUGCUUUACACAUGCAAGUCGAACGGCAGCACGGACUUCGGUCUGGUGGCGAGUGGCGAACGGGUGAGUAAUGUAUCGGAACGUGCCCAGUCGUGGGGGAUAACGUAGUGAAAAUUACGCUAAUACCGCAUACGAUCUAUGGAUGAAAGCGGGGGAUCGCAAGACCUCGCGCGAUUGGAGCGGCCGAUAUCAGAUUAGGUAGUUGGUGGGGUAAAGGCCCACCAAGCCAACGAUCUGUAGCUGGUCUGAGAGGACGACCAGCCACACUGGAACGGAGACACGGUCCAGACUCCUACGGGAGGUAGCAGUGGGGAAUUUUGGACAAUGGGCGAAAGCCUGAUCCAGCCAUUCCGCGUGCAGGAUGAAGGCCCUCGGGUUGUAAACUGCUUUUGUACAGAACGAAAAGGUUUCUACUAAUACUAGGAGCUCAUGACGGUACUGUAAGAAUAAGCACCGGCUAACUACGUGCCAGCCGCCGCUGUAA